rnacentral:rRNA from 1 species
UACAGAGGGGGCAAACGUUGUUCGGAAUUACUGGGCGUAAAGGGCGCGUAGGCGGCCCACUAAGUCGAACGUGAAAUCCCCGGGCUCAACCCGGGAACUGCGUCCGAUACUGGUGGGCUUGAAUCCGGGAGAGGGAUGCGGAAUUCCAGGUGUAGCGGUGAAAUGCGUAGAUAUCUGGAGGAACACCGGUGGCGAAGGCGGCAUCCUGGACCGACACUGACACUGAGGAGCGAAAGCCAGGGGAGCAAACGGG